CCCAUUAAAGAUGAAGAUCUUGUUGCAUACAUCCUUGCUGGACUGAGCGUGGAAUAUGAUCCACUUGUAGCAUCCCUCACCACUCGGAAUGACUCCAUCUCUCUAGGUGAUCUUUAUGGGCACUUACUAUCCCAUGAAUU